GCAGUCAUACAAAAUUAACCAGACCCAAAGUCUAUCCAUCUCAGUGAGCUUCUAAAUAGUUUAAAUAUAUUUUGAAGGCAUGGAGCUUCACAUUGGAUUUUACAUUUUCAAUAUCAAAUAUAUUUUUAUACACAUAAUAAGUUAGAAAGAAGCUUUCAUGUGCUGUCAAAUAUACUUUUAAACUUAAUAUAAGCAGAUUCUUUUGGACACUUUUUAGGUGUGUGAAAUGUUAAUGAGCAGCACACACACACACACACACACACACACACACACACACACACACACAAAGGUCUUAACCCUGAACCCUGGUUCUGGCUUUCCCUUUCCCAGUUGUGCUUUUAUAAAAAGCAAGAGAGAAAUGAGCAGUCAUACAGCAUAUCACAAGAAAGCACAUAUGCAAGCUGUGUUUUGGAGGCAAAGUUCUAUUUUAGGUAAUGCUCUAAACGUACACUUGUUCUGUAACAUAUUUUGCAUUGAUGGACACAUAUAUUUCAAUAAAUGAAAGACUAUAUAAGAUAUGUUUGAGUAAGGAUUAAAUUGUGAGCCAAUUAAAGAUGAAAUAAGUUUUCAGUUGAAUAGUUUCCAGCUGCGUGUGGUGGUGCACACCUUUAAUCCCAGCAGUAGGGAGGCAGAGGUGGGAGGAUCUCUAUGAGUUCAAGGCCAGCCUGGUCUACAGAGCCAGUCCUGAAUAACCAGGGCUACACAAAGAAAUCCUGUCUCGAAAACCCAAACUAAAACAAAUAACAACAAUAAAAACCAAAACCAUAAAUUUAACAGUUUUCUCCUUUGUGGCAUUAUUUAAAGGGACAGAGAAGAGCAAGAGAAAAUUGGGAAUAUGGUUUAUGAAUAUGAAGGUUAUCCCAACUGCUAUAGUAAAACCUGUGCAUGUAAAGAGAAUGAGGAACAAACAAUACAAACAUGUGAAAUGUAGGCAGUGCUUCAGUCUCUCCACAAACAUAGAGCUGAAUGAUGCUGUCAGAACAGAGUACCGGAUGGCACAACACGAAAAAAAUAUCUAUCAAUUGUAUAACACUUCUUAAGGAUGACUUCGUGCAUUUCCUUUUCCUUUGCAGCAGCUGUAGGUAGCUUAAAAGUGGCAUAAAACUGCCUAUCGGGAAACUCUUGCUACUUAUUUUAGCAGCCAAAGCCUUCUGGAAUAAGCUAUGCUUUCAUACUGUAUAUUAUUACUUCCCCAUGAUUAGUAUUAAUUACAAUUAUCAUAUGAGUUGCACUGAAGUUUGGCUGUAAGAAUCAAUGCAUAGGGUGAAACACAGUGUCCUGGCUAGUUUUAUAUCAACUUGGCACAAGCUAAAGUCAUCUGAGAGGAGGGACCAUCAGUUAAGAAAAUGCCUCCAUAAGAUCAGGCUGUGGGAAAGCCUGUAGGGCAUUUUCUUAAUUAUUUAUUAAAGUGGGAGUGUCCAGCCUUUGUGGGUGGUGACAUUCCUGGGCUGUCAGUAAGCAACAGCCCUCCAUAGCUUCUGCCUCCGCUCCUGUCUCCAGGUUCCUGUCCGAUUUGAGUUCCUGUCCUGGCUUUCUUCAGAGAUGAACGGCAAUGUGGAAGUGUAAGCCAAAUAAACCCUUUCCUCCCCAACUCACUUUUUUGGUCAUGGUGUUUUGUUGUAGAAUAGAACCCCUAACUAAGAUACAUGGUAACUCAAAAUCUUCAACAUGUUACUGUAUGUCUGAAGAUAAAGUCUCUGAAAAGAAGAAAGCAGUCUUCUGAAAGUCAGAACUGCAGUCUUUCAAGUCCAACCAUCCUCACAUCCAUUGAGUUAGGGUGGAAGCUGAGAGUGGAGCCUGACUGCCCCACUGAGCACAGCUGUGGACAGCAGGCUUCGAACAGCUGCCCAGCCUGGACCAUGAGCUGGCCAAAAGUCAGGACUGCACAGCUCUGCAUAGAAUCUCCGUUGGAAGAGAACAUAAGAGGUAGUGGAAUAAGUGGAGGAAGGAUUAAGAGCGCAUGCCUGCGGUGGCACACACCUUUGAUCCCAGCACUUGGGAGGCAGAGCCAGGCAGAUCUCUGUGAGAUCUCUGUGAGUUCAAGGCCAGCCUGGUCUACAGAGCGAGAUCCACAACAGCUUUGAUACUCUUCCAGUGGCUUCUCUUUGAACAAGCGAGCCUGCACAUGAACAAAUACCACAAGACAUAAGGUGUGGUCUGUGCUCUGUGGACAAUCUCAGGAUUUCCAGGAGUAAACAAUUCGGAAAACACAUGGCCAUUGGCAGGUCUACAGCAGCAGCUCCAGCUACCUUUCUGUGACAGUGAAACUCAUCUGUUGUCUCCAUCUUCUGAUGCUGAAGACAAAUGGACCAUUAAAAAUGUGGCUGGUGGGACCGAAGAACCAAUCUUCAAUUAUAUCCCAUUUUUAUUUAAAUAUAAAUGUGCACAUCACAUGUGACCAGCAACAAUCAAAAUCCAAGCUGGUGAAAGGUUGGUGGCUGCCUCAGAAUGGCUGGAUUUCCUGCGUUUCUGGAGUGAUGGUUCCCAGUCUGUGAGAUUCCCCCAUUCUUUCUCACACAUGGAACUGCACAGCAAACGUGGAUACAAGGAAGAAGUGAAUGGGUGAGGUGUGACUCAAGUGUUUCUGAUGCAAUCUCACUUCUGGGUAGUACUUCCUCUGGCCUCAUCCUGGAAAGAUGAGGUUCUUCCAGUGAAUGUUCCUGGUGUGGCAUCCUGUCUUCCUCUUCCUUAGAGUUCCUUUCCCUCACCUAUUCACCUCAUAUCAGGUGAAACUGGGACUUGGCCUACAACCAGACUAGGGGACUGACUAAGAAGGCUUCUCAUUUUGUGUUCAAUAAUGUGGACAGCAGGAGAGGAAGCAUCAUCCACCAAGAGGGGUGUGUUCACACAAACUACACUCCGUCCCUUAACACCACUAUGGAACAGCUUUGACUGGCCACUUGAAUUUGACCCUGAAAGAAAAUCCUCUAAUGCCUUACAUGGCUUGUAUUAAUUAAAAGAAAGAAAAAAAAUAUUAAGUCCACAAAAUGGCAUUGUAUAAAACAGCUUAAUCCAGAUAAAAACACAAUGAGGAAUUGUGCUACUCAACUGUAUUUGCCGGUGUGCCAAAUGCUCAAUGUUCAAGCAACUAUACUUGUCAGAUUACAGACCCCAUAGGUGUUGUCCCCUCUCUUUCUCCCAACUCAGUCAGACCACACCACCUGCAUCCUUUCUAAUCUUUCCUGUCUUCACCAAAGACAGGCUAUCCAUAUACACAGCACCAGUGGGGAUAAACAAGUAAAUUUUUGAGUACAGUUUGCCCUUAAGAAACUUACAUUCUGGUUCAAGGUCUCACAAUGAUAACUACAAAAAAAAUUAACUAUGGAGUAGCAUUAUACAAAAUAAGAUGACAGAUGAAACUAGACGUAUUAAAAGGAGCACAUAUAAACGGAAGGAAGGAAUGAGCGUGGUCUUAAAUGAUGGUUCUGUGUGGCACAAAAAGGUAAUCAUUAAUCUGAAGAAGAUAAGACUUUGCACAAACAAUGUGAGAGUCAAGCAUUUCCCAUGUGGUCAUUUCUGGUUUCUGUAUCUUUAACUUGGGAGCAAAUACUUUUCAUUUAAAAAGCCAAACUCACUCUUUGUUUUUGUUUUGUUUAAUCUAGGCAGACUUUUCCAAGCCAAUCUUAUGUUUUGUCCUGGUGGUGAGAAUAUUUUCCUUGUGUUUUCUGGGAUACACACACACACACACACACACACACACACACACACACAAAA